UUUCUUUCUUUCCUUUAUUCAAAACGACGUCAUGUGAUGUUUCCCAUUUCUUUUUAUUCCAUUUGGCACGCCCAUUCAAGGCAAUAAACCCUUUCCUCUCUAGCUCUCUUCCAGACUUCGGCCACGAUUUCUUGGCUCAUUGUUAAGGAAAAAAAAAAAUUAAAGAAAGCAGGGGCUUCUAGCGUUAGGGCUCCGAUCACGUUGUGGGAUGCUUUUUUGCUUCAAUUAUAGCUAUAUUAUAUGUGCAUUUUUACUUCAAUUUUGGAAAUAUUAACUAUUGAAGGUGUGUAUUUUUUAUAUUUACUAUAUUUGGAGAUGCUUAAUUGGAGUUUGUUUUCUGCAAAUGAUGCCUAUGCACGGAGUUCUGGUCUCCGCAUUGCACUGGUAGAGGAGAGAGUGGGAGAGGAAGAAUCUAAAACCUUUUGGAGAAUCCAAGCAAAAGUGGAUGUUCUUGCAAAAAUAUUACACAAGGGUUCUUUCUUCCAGUCAAAUCGUGAUGAUCCUCAAAUGAUAAUUUUUUUCCAUUAUUAUGGUCAUCCAUUUUUGUUAAUUUAGAAAGAAUGAAAAAAGCUCUAAAGAAAAAUUGUUCACGACAGUGAAUACAUGACGAUCGAAUCAUAGAGAAGAACAAACGACGAAAAUAAUUUGUGAUUUUGUUACCUAUGGUUUGAUUUCAAUUGGGCAGUAAGAAAUGACGAUGGAGAGAAAGUUAAAGGGAAUUUGGGAAGUAGGGAUACAAAAAACAAAAGAGGAGAAAAUAAGAUCUAACAAAACCAAGAUACAAAAGGGAGGCGAAAACAAAAAAUAGUAAAGAAAGAAGAAGAAAGGACAAGUCUUGAAUGGUUGUGUGAAGACAGGAGUAAAGAGGUAUGGGAACUUGUGUGGAGAAAUGCAGAAACCCCGUCCUGUGAGAAGAAAAGUACGUAGUGCUUGAGGGGGGAAAAAUGAGAAAAAUAGUAUAUAUGACAUCAACAUGACACACAGAUGAUGCCUUAUGAAUAGUAAGAAACUUUGCUCUUUUAUAUAUUCUAGAGAUUUAGUUCACUCUUUUAUAGGAACUAGUUACUAAUUCUUGUAUUUAUAGAUUGAUCUUGUUGCUGUAAUGUAAAUGAUGAAAUCUGUAUUCUUUAGUUUCUGCUACAAAUCAAACUUUCUAUUGUUUUAUGGGAUCUUAAGAUAUCUUUACAAAGUGAAAUUUAUAUAUAGAAUAAACUUCAGCUUCAAUUUUACUUUAUAUUUACUAUUGAUCUGCUUUUAGCAAUCCCCUAUCAGUCAUCUAAUAUUUUGAUCCAUUAUGACACUACAACCAAAAAUAUUUAAGAAUGAAGCCAACCCUUGGAACUUGGUUUGCCAAACUUUCUGUCGAUAACUCUAUAUGAAGCAGAAAUAUCGUGGCUUCGAUAUUUCUCAAGAACAAAAUAUUUUAGUACAACCAAAUGCGGUGCAAAAGUGUCUUAUUGAUUCUAGCAAAAUUGGAAUUCUGUACUGUGAUGCCUACAUUAAGUCAUCAUCCAGUAAAGAAUUAGAGGUUUUGGGGCUAUGUGUUUGACUGUUUGAACCUUUUGUUUGGAUGUUCAAAUGAAAUAUUGGUGCCAUUUUGGUGUAUGUGUCAAGCUUAAAAACCAGUUAUAUAGAAAUUAGAAUAUUAUUCAACUUGGAUUGUGCUUUUCUGGAAUUCGUGGUAAAAGGAUCAAGUCGAUUGUAAUAUUUCUCUACUUGUCGAUGGUUUGGAAGGGUUUGUAAGACGUGUGCAUAUCUUUGAUCUUCAACUCUCAUGUGUAUUUUUCUUAUAAUGAAAUUAUUGUAUGAUCAAUCUUUUGACCUUUUGAUAGCAAUCAUUUCAUUAACUUUUAUCAUUUUUCUCCCGCUUUAUAAAAAAUCAAUUACUCUUGAUUUUUUAUUUAUUAUUAUUAUUUUUUGUUUAUCUCAACAUACACAAUCCUAGAGUUGCCUUUAUUACCAUUUGAAAUCUUACGCUAGGUUAAGUAACUGACAAAUUAGUAUCUGUCGAGCAGGUGAAGCGUAAGGAAUUAUUCCAUUUUGUAGAAGGAGCCAUCACAAGGUUGAAAGUCAAUGCUGAUAUUCGAGGGGACCUUAUCAUGUUGUGGAUCCCAACGUUAAUUGAAAUAUGUGCUGUAUUACAAGAGAAUUACUCAUAUUCCUCGAGUGGAAGCCUUUUUUCCCCUCAAAGAAUUUGCCUAAGGUUUAACAUAAUGAGGUCAUUCCAGGUACAAAAGUGCCAUUUUUCUCA